rnacentral:rRNA from 1 species
AUUGAACGCUGGCGGCAGGCCUAACACAUGCAAGUCGAGCGGAUGAGGAAGGCUUGCUUUUCGAUUCAGCGGCGGACGGGUGAGUAAUGCCUAGGAAUCUGCCUGUUAGUGGGGGAUAACUCGGGGAAACUCGGGCUAAUACCGCAUACGUCCUACGGGAGAAAGUGGGGGAUCUUCGGACCUCACGCUAACAGAUGAGCCUAGGUCGGAUUAGCUAGUAGGUGAGGUAAUGGCUCACCUAGGCGACGAUCCGUAACUGGUCUGAGAGGAUGAGCAGUCACACUGGAACUGAGACACGGUCCAGACUCCUACGGGAGGCAGCAGUGGGGAAUAUUGGACAAUGGGCGAAAGCCUGAUCCAGCCAUGCCGCGUGUGUGAAGAAGGUCUUCGGAUUGUAAAGCACUUUAAGUUGGGAGGAAGGGUAAUCACCUAAUACGUGGGUACUUUGACGUUACCAACAGAAUAAGCACCGGCUAACUCUGUGCCAGCCGCCGCAGUAAAAC